AGAAUCAACGCUGGCGGCGUGCCUAACACAUGCAAGUCGAACGAGAAAGGGACUUCGGUCCUGAGUAUAGUGGCGCACGGGUGAGUAACACGUGAAUAAUCUACCUCCGAGUGGGGAAUAACUGAGAGAAAUCUUAGCUAAUACCGCAUAGCACUUACGAGUCAAAGCAGCAAUGCGCUUGGAGAGGAGUUCGCGGCCGAUUAGUUAGUUGGCGGGGUAAUGGCCCACCAAGACGAUGAUCGGUA
rnacentral:rRNA from 1 species